rfam:Ailuropoda melanoleuca scaffold1572_33, whole genome shotgun sequence.
GCCUGGUUGGCUCAGUUGGUUGAGCGUCUGACUCUUGAUUUCGGCUCAGGUCAUGAUCUCAGGGUCCUGGGAUCGAGCCCCAUAUUGGGCU